AUAACCUGUCAAAAGGCAAACCAAAAUGAAAGGACAAGUUAAAGGUGUUUUGAUGUACACAAACACUAAUAUUUCUGUUUGAUUUAGGUUGAUUUACAUAGAACAGAGAUAAAGUUUUACAAUCCAUGGGGUCCUGAGAGUAACAUCAGUCAUUCUGCCAUAAAGCCACUUACUUCCUGAAGCUUCUAAUGAAAUGAUUACAACUUUCAAGGUAAAAUUCACUUAAAGCUUUUUAAAGAUGGUCCCUAUUGGGCCAAGCAUUGAUUUUUGCUCAGCUGAUUUUGUUUUGAGGGAUUAUCAUUUGCAUAUGCCUUUUAAACCUCCUUGGAACAGAGAUACUGAAAUGCUAAAACUUAUUCUCUUCCUUUAUUCUGAUCUCCAGAAACAUUUAUACCAAACAGGAAAGUGAGUUCCAGAUGUAGGGCAGUCAUUUGUCAAUUGCUGAUGCUCAGAUGAAAUUGCCAACAAUGGCCACACAGAUCUCAGAGGAGAAUACGUGGAGUUUUUAAAAGACAGGGUCUCGCUAUGCUGCAUAAGGCAAUCUUGAACUCGGGGCUCAAGCGAUCCUUCAGCCUCAGCCUUCCAAAGUCCUAGGAUUACAGAAAUGCAGUAAACAGGUGGACUACAGUGGGGAAUGCGGCAGAAAGAUUGGUCAGGAGGACACGGCAGGACUCCAAGCAAGCAACAAGGAUGGCCUGAAACAUAGAAGCAGCGGAGAAAAACUUUAGAAAACAGUCUCAAUGGGAGUUGUGUUUGCCUUGAUGCAGGGGCUGUUGUCAUGUAAAGCCAAGGCCUUUCCUUGAUAUAUUCAUUGGCAAUCAGCAUCACUUUCCUACAUAAGCCAACCAGACACAUAACACACCAUCUGGGAUUUCUAGCUUUGCUUUCUUUAAAAUGGGAGAACAUUGGUCGGGCACAGUGGCUCAUGCCUGUAAUCCUAGCACUUUGGGAG